GACGAACGCUGGCGGCGUGCUUAACACAUGCAAGUCGAACGGAAAGGCCCUGCUUUUGUGGGGUGCUCGAGUGGCGAACGGGUGAGUAACACGUGAGUAACCUGCCCUUGACUUUGGGAUAACUUCAGGAAACUGGGGCUAAUACCGGAUAGGAGCUCCUGCUGCAUGGUGGGGGUUGGAAAGUUUCGGCGGUUGGGGAUGGACUCGCGGCUUAUCAGCUUGUUGGUGGGGUAGUGGCUUACCAAGGCUUUGACGGGUAGCCGGCCUGAGAGGGUGACCGGACACAUUGGGACUGAGAUACGGCCCAGACUCCAACGGGAGGCAGCAGUGGGGAAUAUUGCACAAUGGGCGGAAGCCUGAUGCAGCAACGCCGCGUGUGGGAUGAAGGCCUUCGGGUUGUAAACCGCUUUCGCCUGUGACGAAGCGUGAGUGACGGUAAUGGGUAAAGAGGCACCGGCUAACUACGUG
rnacentral:rRNA from 1 species